rnacentral:rRNA from 1 species
GAUGAACGCUGGCGGCGUGCUUAACACAUGCAAGUCGAACGGAAAGGCUCCUGCUUGCAGGGGUACUCGAGUGGCGAACGGGUGAGUAACACGUGGGUGAUCUGCCCUGCACUUCGGGAUAAGCCUGGGAAACUGGGUCUAAUACCGGAUAGGACGAUGGUUUGGAUGCCAUUGUGGAAAGUAUUUCGGUGUGGGAUGAGCUCGCGGCCUAUCAGCUUGUUGGUGGGGUAAUGGCCUACCAAGGCGUCGACGGGGAGCCGGCCUGAGAGGGUGUACGGCCACAUUGGGACUGAGAUACGGCCCAGACUCCUACGGGAGGCAGCUGUGGGGAAUAUUGCACGAUGGGCGCCAGCCUGAUGCAGCGACGCCGCGUGGGGGAUGACGGCCUUCGGGUUGUAAACUCCUUUCGCUAGGGACGAAGCGUUUUGUGACGGUACCUGGAGAAGAAGCACCGGCUAACUACGUG